CCUACGGGAGGCAGCAGUGAGGAAUAUUGGUCAAUGGGCGGAAGCCUGAACCAGCCAAGUCGCGUGCGGGAUGAAGGUCCUGCGGGUCGUAAACCUCUUUUGUCCGGGGAUAACAACUUGCACUCGUCGCCGUCUGAGGGUACCUUCCGAAUAAGCGUCGGCUAACUCCGUGCCAGCAGCCGCGGUAAUACGGAGGGGCCGAGCGUUAUCCGGAUUUAUUGGGCUGAAAGGGGGCGUAGGCGGGCGGUUAAGUCAGCGGUAAAAUCCCGGGGGUCAACCCCGCCCCGCAGUUGAAACUGGACGCCUUGAGUUGACGACAGGCAGGCGGAAUGCGUGGUGUAGCGGUGAAAUGCAUAGAUAUCACGAAGAACCCCGAUUGCGAAGGCAGCCUGCCGGGGCCACACUGACGCUGAGGCACGAAGGUGCGGGUAUCGAACAGGAUUAGAUACCCCUGUAGUC
rnacentral:rRNA from 1 species